CCACCAUGGUGAGAGGCGGAAGCGGAGUCGACGGGGGAGCGGUGCCAGUUGACCCCGUGCUGUGAGGAUGCAAGCGAGAAUGUCCUAGCGGAGUGACCUACACCAAAUAUAGGAUGACUGUAAUGUUGGAUCUAUCCUCCGGCGUAUUUUUCACCAGGGAUAGUUUUUGCUCUUGAUGUGCAGUGGUGCAGGAUGUGCUUUGGGUUUCCUCAGUCUCCUACAGCCUGGAAAGAAAAAGAAAAAAAGAAGCUACUGGAAAUUCUUGAAGAAUUGUUUGUUGGUAGUAGAUGAGUAUUAGGAAAACCACUGGAAUAAAAAUAGUUUAGUUUGUAAUAUUUCUAAUAAUUAAACAGUGCAGCAUUGAAGUGGGUGGGAGAUAUAAAUUAUUUACUGAAUAAUAUAACUUUGCAGUUAAGAUUAAUUGAGAACACAUUUUAUGUAGUUUUUAGUAUAAGCACUCCACACUGAUAUACAUCAGAAAAUGAAUGUCAGAUCUUUGAUGUUUUGUUAUAAUGUCCCAUACAUACACAGUAUGAACAGUCUAUGGACUUUAGCAUUGCAUGUUAGCUCAUUAAAUGCAAUCAUUAUGCACUUUCCUCAUUGGGCAUCAAAUCCUUUAGCUGUAAUUAAAGCAUGAUCUGUACAGAAAAGGGUUGUGAAUAUUUGAUUUGAAUGUGAUGCAGCAUAGCAAUGCCCAAGUCAGGAGGAAUCUUUAACUAAAAGAGGAAUAUAUAUUGCAUUAUUCUAUGACUCAUCUCUGCACCAAGAACUAUCUAUGGAGUUUGGUAAUCUACACAGAUUCUUCAUCAUCACUGAAUUAACUAGUUAUUUAUGGCCGAUGGAGUUUCCUGUGACUGUGGGGCCGUUUUCCGAUCCUCGGUCCAUUCACGUAUCCGGGAGGAGUUCCUCUGGGUGGUGUCCACCGACUCCCUUGAUGCUUUUGAGGAGCGGUGGGUGCUGUCCGAGGUUCUCUGCUCGGUGUCCCUCUCCGGUUCCCUUUGUUUGACCCUUUGAUUGGGAGAGAGAGAAAGGGACCCCAGCCCCAGCCUUUGCUGCUACGGACACCACCACCUUAGAGGGGUCCUUUCACAUGUGGGUGCACAUGCUCCCCCCCCUGGGGUUGUCCACCCCACAGCCUGCCCCUCUUGUUGGGUGCUUUCAGAGGAGAGAAUUGUUGGUGACACUGGGCAUGGCGCCAGGUAACUCGAGGGGGUGGCAGACCUUGAGAGUUGAUGAAGCCCCCUCGCUCUGGGCCGCCAGGUAACUCGGAGGGGUGGAAGACCAUGAGAGUUGAGGAAGCCCCCCGCUCUGGGCCCGGGCAAGCUUGAACACUUCCCUCCCCUGAAGCUAAUGAGAAAACAAUUGUGAUUGGCUGCUGUGUUAUACAUUGCAUAUGCUGUUUUUACUUUGUAAGUGUGUUAUGCAAAUAAAAACAUCCUUUUUGCUUCCAAAAAAAAAAAUUACUCUCCUAUAGCCAUCUGGCCCAACCCUGUCACAUCCUGUAUCUGGUCUUUCCCCCACAUUGUCAUGUUCUUCAUGUCAUGAAUUCUUACUGAAAUAAAAUGCUUUGAUUUGAGAUUAUGGUAAUUGAUCUUGUCACUUUACCAAGUUUGUAAAAUAUAAAUAAAGGAAAAAACUCAUCUAUACAUUUCAGCAUAAUAGAUUUGGAAAG